UUUUGCUGGAGCGGAUAGAAGUAAGCAUGCAGGCAUGAGUAGCGAUAAUUAAGGUGAGAAUCCUUAACGCCGAAAACCCAAGGUUUCCUACGCGAUGCUCGUCAUCGUAGGGUUAGUCGGGUCCUAAGUCGAGACUGAAAACCGUAGACGAUGGCAAAUUGGUUAAUAUUCCAUUACCAACAUAUAAGCGCGAUGUGGGGACGCUUAGAAACGUGCUAAUCGUUCCUUUUUCCCGA
rnacentral:rRNA from 1 species